rnacentral:misc_RNA from 1 species
CACAAACAGCUUUGGCAAGCCAAUCAGCAACACAAUAAUCUGAUCUUUUAACAUGAACUGCAUGCCAAUUUGAAACCUUCACACUUCCAGAAGAUGGACUGAACAAUAGCAAAAAUUUCCCAAGGAAUGGGCUUAUGGGGCUUUGGAAAGAAGCAGUUCAAUUGCCUAAAUCUUUGGGUGGACAAAUUUCCAUCCACCUCAUUCCUUUGACAUUUUCCUCUACUCGAUCAAACUUAAUUUUCUUACUUCCUACAACGAAAUGAAUAGCCAUAUAAGCAGUAGAUUCCGAAAGUGGAUCAGCAUCAUAUUAGGCCUUGGGGUUCAAAACCAAAACUCCGAUUGGAUCUAACUUUUAGCUGGUCCAGCAUGGAAUGGCUCGAGCCCAACAUAUCCGUCCCUCCAGACUGAUUAAAGCACAUCGCUUAGUAACUAAAUGGUAAAAAGAGGAACAAAGAAAGCCAACGAGGUAAUUAAUGUUAACUUAUCAUUUGGGAUCUUGUUCUAAAGUAUACAAUUGACGGGGCCAAAGCCCUUUUGGGACUCAUUAUGGAAAAGGCCCCUAGCACUAUGCUCCCUUUGACAAUAACUUCAACUUGAGGGGUGGGCUGAAAAAAUAGCGACAGCUCAUUUCCUUAAACAUGGCCAGCUACCCCAGUACAUUAAAUACAGCCGUCUCUUUCUCAACUCUUAUUUACGAAUCUAAAUUAAUUAAUUGACUGAAAAAUGCUUAAUCUGUUCUUUUGCUCAUUGACCUUCUAAAUGAUACACCAGAUUUUACAGGGUUAACCCAUACUAAUUUUGCUGAGUCAGUCUCCCUACUGCUACUAACAUUAUUACUACUACCUAAAUUUCUACAUUGUUUACUCGAGUCACAAGGCAGAAAAUGAUCACCUUCCUUGGCUGCCAAAUCCACCACCCUACUACUCCCACUAGGUACCCUAUCCCAAUCGCCACCCUCCAUUGCUGAAUCUGCAAAAUCAGUUCGAGACCUGCUUGUCUCUGGUGAAUGCCUCGAGCACAAGGGGGAAGAAGAAGAGGAUGAACAAGUGUCAGAAUCAGAUGUGUUCCUCCAAGAGUUGUUCCAGCCACCAAAAAUGUAAUCUGAAAGAUCAUCAGUACUUGUAGAAUCUCGGGUGCUCUCAGUGCUGCAUGAACCCUCGUCUGAAUUGCUGCUGGUAAAAGAAUAAUUGUCGCUUGAUGAGUCCUCUUCUAAAAUCCUUUGAAGUCGGUGGAAUUUCAGAUAGAAAGAUUCAACGCUAGCCAAACUAUCUGGAGGAAUCGAAUUGGGAUGCAACUGGAAAACACUAGAACGAGUAGAUGUGGAUCUUGAAUUCAAUGCAGCAUUCUUCUCAAUGAUUCUGGAUGGACUGCCUUUCAUUCUUGGAUCAGGAGAUACUAUUCUGUUCCUUAUCAAUCUCGGAGCCCUGGGUGAGCACCUUGCAUAAAGAAGCAUGUAUGCCCCUUUUGUCAAGACCCUUUCAAGUUCCACAGGUGUUACCUACUCAAACAUGGCCAACAUAUAAAAAAAUGGUUAGGAAAAACCAGAAAGUCAAGCUUAUUUUCAUGUUGCUACACGUACACGGUGCAUAAAAUAUAUAAAACAAGCAAUGCAGAGAACAUUUAGUUAACAAAUAUUUAAGUGUACAUUUUAUAGCCCCUGUGAAAGAAUUGGGACCAGAUAAUCAACUACAAACUUCACAAAUAUAUUCAUGAGCUGACAAUUGAUUUCUAUCAAAGGUUUUCUACAUUCUCUAGUUUUAAAAAUGAGGACAAAGUAAGUUUAUCACCACUAAAGAUGGUUGAAUUAGUUACAGAGGCAAAUAAUUAUUGAAACAUAUAUCUAAAUUUGAAGGCAAAUAUUAUACCUCUAUGAGUGGGGGCAAACUCAAAUUAUUACAUAAUUAUUUAAAUAUGUUAAAAAGAAAAUUGUGGGGUCAGUGGGGGCAAGUGUAAUCCAUCCCUGAUUAGGCAUUAUCCUCCAUCUCCCAAAUUCAUAUGAAGCAGGAUCAAAUAAAAACCAACUAUCCUGUGAUGUCAUGUGAUGUAACAGUGCUAGCACCUCCCUUAAAAAACCACAAGCUAUUGCCAGAAUUCAAAUCUCAUUAAAAAUUUCAUACUACCAUCUUUACAGCCACCACAGACCACCAACACCACCACCACACAAACAGCCAAGGAAAUCCUCUCAUCAAAUACUCAUUGUUGAGACAUUUGCUACCAUCGUCCAAUUGCCAUUAUCCAAAGCAAACAGCCAUAGCCUCCUCCUCCUCCAUUGGUUUAUGUUUCCAACCCCAUCCUCUCAGUCCCAUUCUCAAAGGUUAUGGGCCAUCAUUUUUUUUAUUGCUUUGGAUUCCAACAUUUCACAAAUGCAGAUUCUUAUCUUCAGUAGAUGUCCUCUCUCAAAUUCAAAGAACAACCUCCACACCCAAUUAUCUUGUCCACCACAUGCACCUCAUCUCAAUCUCAUAAUCAACUACUUCAUCAUAAUCAUUAUGGUGUGAAAUUAUUUUGAAAAUUUAAAAAUCAAACAGCCAUAAAAGUGUCAAACCAACAGGAAUUGCCAUUCCAUUCAUUUCUCUUACUAUGCAUUAUGCACCAAUGACUGAUUUACAGUUAAGACCAUUACUUAACAAAGGGAACUGGAGAUUUCAGGCAACAGAAUGUGUUAAAUUAGCCCUAGAGUCCAAAUAAACAGUCAACUAAGAUUUAGUGAAAUGGAAAGAAUAAAUAUAGCAAGGGCACAUAAAUGACAAAACAAAACCAGUUUCAAGGAUGCAUAUUUCAUAAUAAAAGAAACAUACCGUGCUGUCAUCAAUCUUAAACCACUUGUUCUGGACAUUCUUAACGUAGCACACAUAGUGACCAGAAAAUGAAGCAUUCAUGAUAUCCAAGUGAACAACUACUCCAUAAAGCCUAUAUAUGGGUGAUUUAUCACUUGUGCCACUCAUAUAUGGUGCUAAAUCCAGGAUCUCUGGGAAUCGAAUGGACUUAUUGAGCUUUCCAAAUUUACCUGACUGAAAGCGCUUCAAUGCAAUUGUGAGUACAUUGGGAGCCUCCAGUACUGUCAACUUUUUCUUGGCCUUCUCGUAAGAUUUGCAUCUGCUACAUUGGUAUUUAUUGUCUCCAUCCAGAAUCUCAGUACUCGUGAAUCGCCUAAGUGCAUCUUCAAGCUUCCCUAUAUCCCCUUCUAUUUCUACAGUAAGAUCCAUAAUUUUUUCAUGCCGCUCCGACUUGUAAUGGCACUUCAUGCAUUUUAUCUUUGAGCGAAGGUAGCCUCCAAAAGUAAGACCUAUGAGAGUGGUUUCUUCUUCAAAGGAGCCUAAUGCAUUCACCCCAGCUUCUUUAAGGCAAACAGAUUGCAUUGUAUCAAUGGCAUACCUCAGGAAUUCAUGUGCAUCUUCUUCCCUCCCACUACCCAGAUGACUUCCAAGGCUUUGUAGCUGGGAUAGAAUUCCAAUAGGGGAAAGUGGAGAUAUCCCUUCCUUUGCCUUCAAAAUUAACCUUUCAAACUCACAAGUGAAGCACCAUUCUUUAUUUACACAUUGUUUAGAAUGGAGUCCUUGAACAAAAUAUGCAGUCAGAGGAGGAGUAAAUGAUAAGCAUUGAAGUACAGCAUUCGCAUAACAACUGCAGAAAUAGAACAGCACAUGUUAUUACAGCUUGAGAAAAUUUCACAAAGAAUAUAAUUAAAACCAAAAGAAAAGGUUGGGGGCAAGAGAGCAGUAGCUUCCCUGCAAAAAUGAGACCGAUAGCUCUUUGAACUUAAUAUUUUAAUUUAAAUAAAACAACGUCCAAGAAGAAAAAUAAUGCAGCAGAUCACACGUGUAUCAUACCAACCAAUCUGGCAGUAUCAUGUCAAGCAGACCACAGAAUCUUCCAUUGAUGCAUAGAUGAUCAUAUGCAAGCAUCAGGCUAGCACAAUAGAUAAUGAACAUGUGCAUAAUAGCAUGCAUUUCGUAUACUGACCAUGAAUUUGUGAAACAUAAUUAGGAGAGAACAACACAUACAAGUUUUUGCAGCUAAAUCACAUUUUCAACAUUAGUAACAAUUUGCAAUCAAGCAAUGCAGAAAGACAGAAAGAAAUAAUGUUAGCAAGGAGGAGGAAGCAAACAGCAAAUGGUUUACAUAACAAUUUAAUUUGCUCACCCCUAAGAAGGGAAGAUACAUUCUCUACAUGAUCAAAAUAAUAGCAUCUAUACAUAAGAUCCAUGUUGCUUAAAAAUGUAUAGAAAUGCCAAAUAUUUCUACUGCCAUGAAUAAUGCACAAUUUUAUUUUUUACUUUUUACUUUUUAUCUCCUAAGAGUUGACAAGUUGUGAUCUAUAUACCUGUUUCCACAAUUGAUGAGGCCACAAGGUCGCAAUUCUACCUUGUUCGAAGCAUAUAGCUUCACAAAAUAAUCAUAUGAAAAGAGCCCCUUAUCACUGUAUUUUCCAGAUUUAGGUCCUCUGAGUUGGUCAACAACUUUCCGCAUUGAUGAUUUCAGCCCACUAAUAGUUGGAGAGGUGGUCAGUGCUUCAGCUUCAACAUUAUCAAGUUUUCCAGAUUUCACAUUUAGAACUGAAUGCCCAUUGUCCCUAGAUGCCAAAUGGGUUUGAGAAGCACUAAAUGAUACUCUGGACUUAGAUAGAUAUGAAGUACUGACAGUGUUAUUGACACUAACAUCCGAUCUGUGAGAGUGUAAGGAUGGGGAUUUAAGAUCAUUGGACUUUGAAAGAUUAGAAUCAACUGCACGUAAAGCAGCUUCACUAUUCGAAGGCAGAUGAGCAUAUGAAGAGGAUGAUGGCAAAGAUUUCAUCUCAGUUGUCUUUGGCACAUUUAAAUAAUCACUAGAUUCAUUAUCCAUAUGAUGACUAGACUUUUCGCAGCUCACAGAUGUGGACCUCCUGACUUUCAGAGGAUCAUCAUGGGUGUUUUCUGAUGAUGCUGCUCCAUCAACAGGGCUACCAUUCCCCAAAACAGCCUGAUGUGCAUCAUCUGAUCUGAUGCCUUUCACUUCUGAGCAUUGUGAAUUUGAUGAAGGAACAUUACAUCCAGAUAAAUGAAACUUAAAAUGUAGGAAUGACUCAGAAUCAGAUAACUUGCUGUCAGCUGCUUUGCUGGAACUCAACAAAUCUGGAUCAGCCUGGACAGCAUUGCUGGACAUGACAGAGCUGAGAGUUCUAUCCCAGAAACCAGAAGAAACGUUUCCAGGCUGAGUUAUUGAAACCUUGUUCCUGGCAAUAAUGCUCUGACCUGAAGUAUGAGUAGAUGCAUACCAAUUCUCUCCACCAUUGCUGCCAGAUUUACUCUUACUUAAUUUACUGAAUUUAUUACUAUCUACAGAAUCAAUCAACCUCGCAAACUUUGGAGACAGAGGCUUGGUUUGAUCUACCUUGUUCAAACCAGGCACAAGCACAUCAGUGGCAGUAUGAAAAGAUAUUUGUCCAUCUGAUCCCUCAGGUUCAUUUGAACUGAUACUCUCAGAAACAGAAACAUCAUUUGAACUGAUACUCUCACUAACAGAAACAUCAUCAGAUGAUUCACCACCAACAGAUGAAGUAGAGAAGCCAGAAAAUGAGGUGCCCAAUGAUUCAGAAGUAGAAGAGGUUCCCUCUGUAUUGGCAAAAGAAUCAACUUCAAAAACAUCACCUUUAACAUGUGGAACUCCUUGAUUGCCACCGGUUUUAUAUAGUACAUGUCCCACAGAGGAAGUUUUAAUUCGUGCAUGUCCAUUUCUGCCACCAUAAAUAUCAUAUUGUUUUUCUUUGGCCACAUUCCGAGAAGAAUUGCCUCCAUCAUCAUUGACGUAGUAAGUGGCAUUAGAAGGACAGCAUUCUUCCUUGUGACCUUGCCGCCAGUGAAUAAUUUGACACUUACCAGAACAAUAUCUCACAGCUUUACACCGGGCACACCGUGUAGUGGUCGGACAAUAACAAACAGCACACUGAUAACUAUUCCUCGAAACAGAAACCGCGCCGUACGAAACUGUAGCCUCAAGCUCGGCCCUAGCAGCCUCCUCCGAAGCCAAAAUCAAUAACCGCUUGAUCUCCUCUUGCCUGGCAACGGAAAGCCGCCAUUUCCGGCGAAUUACAAAGGCGAUCACCGGAAGCACUACACAUAGCAGAAGGACCAGGCUCGAAAACCCUAGAUCCCCGGUAACAUGCAUUUAUCCAGCUGCACCUAACACGCAUCCAGCAAAAUUUACAAUCCCUGACCUCCUAAUCUAAUCCCCACACACAUAAGUGAGGAGGUUUCCGGUGGUGGCCAGCUAUACACUGGAAGCUGCGCAUGCACGGACGGCAAGAUCGGAGACAGUUAAAAUCACAUGCCCCUUGCAGGGACGGCUACGAUUGACAAACGGAAUGUCAUUCUUGUUAGGUAAGGAGAUGUUAUCUGAGCUCCCUUUUUUUUUUUUUUUUUUUU